CAAACUAACUGGAUUUGGCAGGGGUCAGCAACCCUGGUCCUAGAGAGCCGUUAUCCUGCAUGUUUUAGAUGUUUCCCACUUCCAGCAUACCUGAUGGUCAUUAUUAGUCUUCUGCAGAGCUUGAUGAUAGGCUUAUCAUUUGAAUCAGGGGUGUUGCACUAAUGG